ensembl:lncRNA uncharacterized LOC110091183
GAGCAUUCCAGCCUAGCCCAAGCCCCAUGGAACAGAAUUUCAUUAAUUACCCAGUUUUUCCUAAGUUAUCCAAAGGCCCAAAUUCCCCAUAUUUUUUUCCCUUCCUUUCUUCUUAUUAUAGAAGAGGUUUAUAAAAGCCUCCUCUCAUUCCCUCGGUUUCAAGGCGUUGGUCUCCUAUUGGACCUCUCGCCAUCUGCACUACAAACACAAAACCGGUUCCAAAACUAGUUCAGCUAGCACAGGCUGCUCCCGAGGAACUCUGGGAGUGGUAGUUUCGGACGGGCGGCAGGGACCCUUGCCUUAUAGGGGCAGAGCCUUCGCUCUGAACUACAACCUCCAUGUGUCACUGCAAGGGAAGCCACGACAGCUAAAACGGGUUUCUCUCUGUGCCUGUGUGGCUCUUUACGUUCCGUGGUGUGUGUGUUUGUGUGUCGUGCCUGUGUGGCUCUUUACGUUCCGUGGUUUGUGUGUGCGCGUAUAUAUACUGUAUGUGUGUUUGUGGACGUGCUCUCAAGUCUCCGUUCCUCGGAGGCAACGACAACGGACUCCCAGUUGUUUUGGUCGUCGGGAAGCGAACGGAACUUCCGUCUAAGCGGCGUACGUGUAGGAUCGCGGAUCGGAAGGAGUGCUUUUGAACCGCUUUCGUCGUUCGCAGAACCCACGGGAGGAAAGUUCCUAGGAUAAGACCCUGAACGGAGAAACCAGCCCUUUGUGGUGUUCUGGAUGGUACCGAUUCUGAGAAAGUAGUGGUGGACUUCAGCAGGGAGGCUUUCUGGGCCUGAAUUCUGCCUUGCAAGGGUCAUCAUGCAAAACAACUAUGCAACUGUGGCCUUGCUAGGUAAGAACUCCCUCUCGCCCAAGGAAUCACAACCUCCUUUCUACCUUAGACUGAGGAGGAAGCCGUGAAAAACAGCUUCUCCUGGCCAAGCAUGGUUUGGAGUUUCCAGCAAAAGACAGACUUGUCCCUCUUUUUUUUCCUUUUUCGCUCCUGCACAGGGUUGCCUGCUGAUGAACCAGAACUUAUUUGCAAAGUGGAGCCAGAGGAAGAGCCAUGGAUCCCAAAGGAGCAGGCUGCUAGGGAGAGGCGGAUCCUGCCUGCAAGCAAGUCAGGUGCCGAAACUCCAGAAGUUGCCGUCCCCUCCUACAGACAGUAUCGUGGCACCACGUGGACCUACCCAGAGGUCAUUGACCUUCUGGUCAUCUGGCGAGAGCGAGAGAUCCAACAGGAACUCCAGCGGAGCCAUCGGAACAUUGAAACCUUUCAGGUAGUGGCCGGCAAAAUGGCCAAGAGAGGCCACAGGCGUACGGCCCUGGAGUGCCGGUCGAAAAUCAAAACGUUGAAGAGAGACUACCGCAUCGCUAAAGCCAACAACUCACCCGGGAAGGGUCACCUGGCUUGGCUUUUCUAUGACAGGUUGGACCACUUGUUGGAGAAUGACAGGGACCUCUCACCUCUGGAGAAGCUCCCUGGUUUAAAUCACCGCCAGGUAGCCAUCAUAGACUCUAUAUCGCAGUGUUCCACGGAGGAGGAAGCCACAACAGACGGGGUGAAGGAAGGUGGCCCGGACGGUCAAGAAGUGCUGGAGCUCAGAAGGUCCUCCCCAGCCAAGAUCGGGAAAGACAGCAUUCCUCUGCCGUGCAUCAAGCAAGAAGCCCCGGACGAAAUGCCAGUCACAGUGCCCCAGGAAGUCAGCAGUCCUGUUCCACCUCUCCCUUCGACUCCUUGUGAUAAACCAGGAUGCUCUGCCUCAACUGUAGAUGGUGCUGUUACCUCACCCCAAAGCCCCAUUCCUGGUCCUGCAAGGUCUUACGCAGCUGAACGACUGGCCAACAUCAGAAAGAGGAAACGGAAAAACAGGCAAGAUAUGGCCCUAGAGAUCACACAGGCAGCCGAUAGACGGGUCCAAAUGGCCACGGACAGGAUCCUGGCAGCACUUGGGGAAUACGCCAAGGCAGAUCUGCAGGACCGUGAGCGGGACCGAGUGGACACUGAACAGAUUAUUGCCCUCAUGAACCGCCAGACAGAACUUUUGGAGUCGCUGGUGCGAAAGCAGACUGAGACCCAGGCCCGCGUGUCGCCCACCUUGACCUGGCCUUCCCGGAUUCCUCGGCCUGGGCAGCCAAAUCAUCCUUCCGAAUCGUCUCCCUUGCACUUGGGCGUAACCCGGCGUCCCCUUGCAAGGGCAAGAUACAGGAGGUGAUUCCCAUCGUUGCUUGUGCUGCCUUUUAAAAAGGCCUCCUUGGUAGCUUCUUAUCCUACAGGACACAGAGGGUGGGGAGUAUACCUUUGCAAACGGGUUGUGGCUUUUUCAAGACUUUUUUCAAUCUUUUUACAGUGAAUGAUUUUAUUUGCCAAUUGUAAAAAAAGAA